rnacentral:rRNA from 1 species
GCGGCGUGCUUAACACAUGCAAGUCGAACGGAAAGGCCCUGCUUUUGUGGGGUGCUCGAGUGGCGAACGGGUGAGUAACACGUGAGUAACCUGCCCUUGACUUUGGGAUAACUUCAGGAAACUGGGGCUAAUACCGGAUAGGAGCUCCUGCUGCAUGGUGGGGGUUGGAAAGUUUCGGCGGUUGGGGAUGGACUCGCGGCUUAUCAGCUUGUUGGUGGGGUAGUGGCUUACCAAGGCUUUGACGGGUAGCCGGCCUGAGAGGGUGACCGGCCACAUUGGGACUGAGAUACGGCCCAGACUCCUACGGGAGGCAGCAGUGGGGAAUAUUGCACAAUGGGCGGAAGCCUGAUGCAGCAACGCCGCGUGCGGGAUGACGGCCUUCGGGUUGUAAACCGCUUUCGCCUGUGACGAAGCGUGAGUGACGGUAAUGGGUAAAGAAGCACCGGCUAACUACGUGCCAGCAGCCGCGGUGAUACGUAGGGUGCGAGCGUUGUCCGGAUUUAUUGGGCGUAAAGGGCUCGUAGGUGGUUGAUCGCGUCGGAAGUGUAAUCUUGGGGCUUAACCCUGAGCGUGCUUUCGAUACGGGUUGACUUGAGGAAGGUAGGGGAGAAUGGAAUUCCUGGUGGAGCGGUGGAAUGCGCAGAUAUCAGGAGGAACACCAGUGGCGAAGGCGGUUCUCUGGGCCUUUCCUGACGCUGAGGAGCGAAAGCGUGGGGAGCGAACAGGCUUAGAUACCCUGGUAGUCCACGCUGUAAACGGUGGGUACUAGGUGUGGGGUCCAUUCCACGGGUUCCGUGCCGUAGCUAACGCUUUAAGUACCCCGCCUGGGGAGUACGGCCGCAAGGCUAAAACUCAAAGGAAUUGACGGGGCCCCGCACAAGCGGCGGAGCAUGCGGAUUAAUUCGAUGCAACGCGUGGAACCUUACCUGGGUUUGACAUGGAUCGGGAGUGCUCAGAGAUGGGUGUGCCUCUUUUGGGGUCGGUUCACAGGUGGUGCAUGGCUGUCGUCAGCUCGUGUCGUGAGAUGUUGGGUUAAGUCCCGCAACGAGCGCAACCCUUGUUCACUGUUGCCAGCACGUUAUGGUGGGGACUCAGUGGAGACCGCCGGGGUCAACUCGGAGGAAGGUGGGGAUGACGUCAAGUCAUCAUGCCCCUUAUGUCCAGGGCUUCACGCAUGCUACAAUGGCUGGUACAGAGAGUGGCGAGCCUGUGAGGGUGAGCGAAUCUCGGAAAGCCGGUCUCAGUUCGGAUUGGGGUCUGCAACUCGACCUCAUGAAGUCGGAGUCGCUAGUAAUCGCAGAUCAGCAACGCUGCGGUGAAUACGUUCCCGGGGCUUGUACACACCGCCCGUCAAGUCAUGAAAGUUGGUAACACCCGAAGCCGGUGGCCUAACCGUUGUGGGGGAGCCGUCGAAGGUGGGACUGGUGAUU